rnacentral:ncRNA from 2 species
UAAAUAUUGUAGAUUUUAGGUUCUUGAAGGCGAAAUCUUUUAAGAUUAAAAGGGAAAGUGGUGAAAACCCACUACAGCCCCCGCUACUGUAAAAGCAGACAAAUCUCUAAAAUAUCCACUGACUUUUAGUUGGGAAGGAGGAGAGGAGGAUGAAGCUUAAGUCAGGAGACCUGCCUAAAUUUCUGUGCUAUC